rnacentral:rRNA from 1 species
UACGGGGGGGGUAAGCGUUGUUCGGAAUUACUGGGCGUAAAGGGCUCGUAGGCGGCCAACUAAGUCGGACGUGAAAUCCCUCAGCUUAACUGGGGAACUGCGUCCGAUACUGGAUGGCUUGGAUUUGGGAGAGGGAUGCGGAAUUCCAGGUGUAGCGGUGAAAUGCGUAGAUAUCAGGAGGAACACCGGUGGCGAAGGCGGGUCUCUGGGCCGAUACUGACGCUGAGGAGCGAAAGCAUGGGUAGCGAACAGG